ACUUUGGGUGUGGAAACCUAAAGGGGAAAUCUUCCAUUAGUCAGUAAGUAUAACGUGGAAAUGGACUAUAAACUUUCCAAGACUUACAGAACGCUGUGUUCUCUGGCACAGGGAGAUAACAGUGAAGGUGGACUGAGAGGCUGGGCAGGUGGGUGGACAUGAGCCAACACGUCGCAUGGGGAACAAACAGAGGGUUCCGAUAAGCCGAGCGCUGAGAGAACCAAAGGAAUUUUAAUGACCCACAAACCAGCCCGGCAGGUCUGUACGACUGAAAUGCCACACAUACCUUGUGUGUUCUUCUCCUCUAUACAUCCACAAUUUCACAUAGGCUCUACCAGUUAUUGGUCUCCGAUAAAAGUGUCAUUUUAUGGCCAAACAGUACUGUAGCAUUAUUGUCCACCUUGUUGUGUAAUGGGAUUACAAAACUCCCAUAAUCCCGUUUCUGUUCUUGCAACCAGCGGUUCCUGUUUAGUUUUCCCUUCCCUACAUCAGCUGAUUCCACAAGCUUAACUUUGUUCCAAGAGUGUUGUGUGUGUGUGUGUGUGUUUGUGUCUGCGGAUGUGUCACGCACUAUGAUUCGCUGCUUUCCUUUCUCAGUCAGUGAUCCUUUUCGUCAUAGGCGCAAGCCACAUUCGCUCCGUUUCAUUUUCCUGCUGCAAUGCUCUGUUUGAUUCAAGUACAGUGGACCUUUGGAAGUCCAAACACAGGAACCAGGAGGGCAUUCCUCAUGCUGCAUUCAAGGAAAGUUGGAAGUCGGAUUUAUCCCACUGGGAAUUUGCUAGUUAUGACCUCAAAGCGUUUGAAGCACAUGUAAACAACAAAGAUGACUGAUUCCAAUUGGUCGUUUUCGUUUAUCAUAACACACUUUCAUCUCCGGCAAGCCUUCUUCAUAAUUUUUAUUUAGAUAAAUAAGUGAAUGUCAUAUCUUCAAAGCAUUUCAUUAAUUUCACUAAAUAACUUUAUGCAGGUGGAUGCAUGUCUUCAUGCAAUCAGGCUUUUUUUAAUAACUACAUAAUAAUGAAUAAAAGGGACAAAAUAUACUAUGUUUAUAACCCUCAGAUUUGUUUCAAGCAUUUAUUGUCCUCUAAAAGUGUAAAAAGUAUCUUAGUAUUCUUUCCUUGUUUCACUUCCUGGUCUAUCCACAGAAUUAACAUUGUCAACAAGAAUCAGCCGUAGAUAAUGCACUGCUUCUGAUUGUUGCCUUGACCGUAAAAUGAAGUCUUUUGUGUUCAUUCCCCUUCAAAGAUGAGUCAUUCCAGGAGUAUAUUGAAUAGGUUUCUAAAAGAAGACGUGAAAAUAUACUAACCCCUGGCCUUUUGUUCUUCAUGUCAUCAUUCAUGAGUUAGAUCUCGUGAUGUUUGGUGGUGUUUAUUUUGCUUGGUAUUACGGUAAAUUCCGUUCCGCUUCCCCGUUCUGAGUAGCGUCCUGUACUUUUACUGUCUGUAUGCACACUGGCUUUUAUUCGUUGUGUUAUCUAUUUCUUUAUUAUUUAUUGUUACUCUUAUUAUUCAUUGUUUGUGCCUUCUUGUUUUUUAUAUUGCGUCGUUUACUUGUAUGUCUAUCGUGUAAUAUGUCUUGUCACCGUGGGAUAGGGAAAACGUAAUUUCGAUCUCUUUGUGUGUCUCGGCAUGUGAAGAUGUUGACAAUAAAGCAGACUUUGACUUUGACUUUGAAAAAAAAAAAUGACAAGGUCAGUGUGAAGUUUGAUAAUUGUGUGUUGCCAGAUUCACCAAUUGUAUAUGGAAAUAAAAAUCAAUCAAAAGA